rnacentral:rRNA from 1 species
GACGAACGCUGGCGGCGUGCCUAAUACAUGCAAGUCGAGCGCAGGAAGUCGACGGAACCCUUCGGGGGGAAGUCGACGGAAUGAGCGGCGGACGGGUGAGUAACACGUAAAGAACCUGCCCUCAGGUCUGGGAUAACCACGAGAAAUCGGGGCUAAUACCGGAUGGGUCAUCGGACCGCAUGGUCCGAGGAUGAAAGGCGCUCCGGCGUCGCCUGGGGAUGGCUUUGCGGUGCAUUAGCUAGUUGGUGGGGUAAUGGCCCACCAAGGCGACGAUGCAGAGCCGACCUGAGAGGGUGAUCGGCCACACUGGGACGGAGACACGGCCCAGACUCCUACGGGAGGCAGCAGUAGGGAAUCUUCCACAAUGGACGAAAGUCUGAUGGAGCAACGCCGCGUGAACGAUGAAGGCCUUCGGGUCGUAAAGUUCUGUUGUAAGGGAAGAACAAGUGCCGCAGGCAAUGGCGGCACCUUGACGGUACCUUGCGAGAAAGCCACGGCUAACUACGUGCCAGCCGCCGCGGUAACAC